UGUAGAAUGUGUAGAUCAUACCACCACCAAGGAUGAGGAUAUCAACCUUUGCCAGCAGAGACUCAAUGACCCCAAUCUUGGUCGAGACCUUGGAUCCACCAACAAUGGCAGCAAAUGGCUUCUUUGGGUUGGCAACAGCUCCAACAAGAUAAUCAAGUUCCUGGGAUAAUUAAAUUAUUAGUCAAACAAACUUUUGCUCUGAAAAACUUGUUCCAAUCUUAAAAGUACAUAAGGAUUGCUUUCGAAGAAGAAAUAAACAUAUUUAAAAUGCAAGGAUCCAAGUAAUUCAUUGCAUUUUCCUCAGAAGCUAUAUGUAAAUAUCUAUGUUACUAGACCAGGAUUUUGAAACUGCAGGGAGCAUACAUUGUACAUACAUUUUAACACUUCCUACUUUACAUAAGCAGGACCUUAUUAUGGAGAUAAACAAUUUUUUUCUCUUACACACGGGAGAUGGGGGGGGGGGGGGGGGGGUUCAACAAACAUAGGCAGAUCAUGAGCAGCAGGGCUGAGAUUUUAUUACCUUCUGCAUGAGGAAGCCAGCAACAGCAGGCUUCAAAAACUUAGUAACUCCUUCUGUUGAAGCAUGAGCUCUGUGUGCCGUGCCAAAAGCGUCAUUUACAUAAAGGUCAGCAGCAGAUGCAAGCUUCUUAGCAAACUCAGGGUCAUUCUUUUCUUCCUCCUUGUAGAAUCUAACAUUCUCAAGGAGCAGAACUCCACCUUCCGGCAAAGCAGCAGCCAAUUUCUCAACUUCCU
rnacentral:lncRNA from 1 species